rnacentral:rRNA from 1 species
AGCGAACGCUGGCGGCAGGCCUAACACAUGCAAGUCGAACGAAGCCUUCGGGCUUAGUGGCGGACGGGUGAGUAACACGUGGGAACGUACCUUUUGGUUCGGAAUAACGCAGAGAAAUUUGCGCUAAUACCGAAUGAGCCCUUAGGGGGAAAGAUUUAUCGCCGAAAGAUCGGCCCGCGUUGGAUUAGGUAGUUGGUGUGGUAAAGGCGUACCAAGCCUACGAUCCAUAGCUGGUCUGAGAGGAUGAUCAGCCACACUGGGACUGAGACACGGCCCAGACUCCUACGGGAGGCAGCAGUGGGGAAUCUUGCGCAAUGGGCGAAAGCCUGACGCAGACAUGCCGCGUGAAUGAUGAAGGUCUUAGGAUUGUAAAAUUCUUUUACCAGGGACGAUAAUGACGGUACCUGGAGAAAAAGCCCCGGCUAACUUCGUGCCAGCCGCCGCCGUAACAC